rnacentral:rRNA from 1 species
AAUGAACGCUGGCGGCAGGCCUAACACAUGCAAGUCGAGCGGAAGAAGGGAGCUUGCGCCUGGAUUCAGCGGCGGACGGGUGAGUAAUGCCUAGGAAUCUGCCUGGUAGUGGGGGAUAACGUCCGGAAACGGGCGCUGAUACCGCAUACGUCCUGAUGGUGAAAGUGGGGGAUCUUCGGACCUCACGCUAUCAGAUGAGCCUAGGUCGGUUUAGCUAGUUGGUGGGGUAAAGGCCUACCAAGGCGACGAUCCGUCGCUGGUCUGAGAGGAUGGUAAGUCACCCUGGAGCUGGGACACGGUCCAGACUACUACGGGAGGCAGCAGUGGCGAAUAGUGGACAGUGGGCGAAAGCCUGAUCCAGCCAUGCGGCGUGUGUGAAGAAGGUCUUCGGAUUGUAAAGCACUCUUAGUUGGGAGGAAGGGCAGUAAGUUAAUACCUUGCUGUUUUGACGUUAACAACAGAAGAAGCACCGGCUAACUUCGUG